CCUUGGGUGGGCCCUGCCUCAGGCAUGCUGGGACCUCAGCACCCCAGGCCAGAAGGAAAGAGGAAGAGCCCAGGGCCGACAGCACACAUCAGUGCAGAGCCCACUGUAAGGUGAGGAGCUCAGGAAAACAGUCCAAGAUGCUUAGGUUAACACUUGGGCGCUCAGAGUUGACAGAGAGGUUAACACGGAGUUCAGUUCCUGUUAGAGCAGUCCUGCAGGGGUUUGCCAUACCUGUCAAUGAGCUGUAAAGACUUUCCCAUCAGAUAAUACACACGAGAGCCUAGAGAGAAGACGGAAAGGAAACUAGUCAAACCGGCUGUCUGAUCAAACUGGCUGUCUUUACAUGGGAAGUCAGGGACCCCGAAUGGAGGGACCGGCUGAAGCCACAGCAGAAGAAUGUGGAUUGUGAAGAUUUCAUGGACAUUUAUUAGAUCCCCAAAUUAAUACUUUUAUAAUUUCUUAUGCCUGUCUUUACUGCAAUCUCUGAACAUAAAUUGUGAAGAUUUCAUGGACACUUAUCACUUCCCCAAUCAAUACCCUUGUGAUUUCCUAUGCCUGUCUUUAGUUUAAUCUCUUAAUCCCAUCAUUUUCGUAAGCUGAGGAGGAUGUAUGUCACCUCAGCACCCUGUGAUGAUUUCAUUAACUGCACAAAUUGUUUGUAGAGCAUGUGUGUUUGAACAAUAUGAAAUCUGGGCACCUUGAAAAAAGAACAGGAUAACAGCAAUGUUCAGGGAACAAGAGAGAUAACCUUAAACUCUGACCACCAGUGAGCUGGGUGGAACAGAGCCAUAUUUCUCUUCUUUCAAAAGCAAAUGGGAGAAAUAUCACUGAAUUAUUUUUCUUAGCAAGGAACAUCCCUGAGAAAGAGAAUGCAUCCCUGAGGGUGGGCUUCUAAAAUGGCCCCCUUGGGUGCAGCCAUCUUUUAUGGUCCACCUGUAGGGAUGAAAUAAGCCCCAGUCUUCCAUAGUGCUCCCAGGCUUAUUAGGAUGAGGAAAUUCCCGCCUAUUAAAUUUUGGUCAGACCGGUUGUCUGCUUUCAAACCCUAUCUCCUGAUAAGAUGUUAUCAAUGACAAUGCGUGCCGAAACUUCAUUAGCAAUUUUAAUUUUGCCCCCGUCCUGUGGUCCUGUGAUCUCGCCCUGCCUCCAUUUGCCUUGUGAUAUUCUAUUACUUGUGAAGCACGUGAUCUCUGUGACCCACACCCUAUUCCUACACUCCCUCCCCUUUUGAAAA